CUACGGGCGGCACCAGCAGCGGAACUUUUACAAUGCACGAAAGUGUGAUAAAGCAAGCCAAAGUGCUUAUCGUUUAGAUAAGCUUUUUUUAAUGUAAAAACUCAGAAGAAUAAGGACUGGGAAAGAUCGGUGCCAGCCGCCGCGGUAAUACCGACAGUUCAAGUUGCAUCCUAUUUUAUUGGGUCUAAAACAUCCGUAGCUUGGAGUUUAAGUCUCUUGUGAAAUCUCACGUCUCAAGCGUGGUGAAGUGCAGGAGAUACUGGGCUCCUAGAGAUCGGUAGACGUAAGGAGUACGCUGGGGGUAACGGUUAAAUGUGUUAAUCCUCAGUGGACUAACAAUCAGCGAAGGCACCUUACGAGGACGAAUCUGACAGUGAGGGAUGAAGGCCAGGGGCGCAAAACGGAUUAGAUACCCUUGUAGUC
rnacentral:rRNA from 1 species